rnacentral:lncRNA from 1 species
GACCGAGCUUCUACAAUGGGACAGGACUCAUCGGCCAGGUCGCUACUUCGAGCUCCCACGACAACUGACCUUCGACCAAGCUUCUACAAUAAGCGGUCUCCUUUCAGCCUUCUACAAGAACCAGACUUCGACUGAACCUCCAUAGCGGUUGGAUAUUGGAUGAGCUUCUACGAUGAUCAGGCUCCAAUAGCUGGAUUCCUACAAUG